GACGAACGCUGGCGGCGUGCUUAACACAUGCAAGUCGAACGGAAAGGCCCUGCUUUUGUGGGGUGCUCGAGUGGCGAACGGGUGAGUAACACGUGAGUAACCUGCCCUUGACUUUGGGAUAACUUCAGGAAACUGGGGCUAAUACCGGAUAGGAGCUCCUGCUGCAUGGUGGGGGUUGGAAAGUUUCGGCGGUUGGGGAUGGACUCGCGGCUUAUCAGCUUGUUGGUGGGGUAGUGGCUUACCAAGGCUUUGACGGGUAGCCGGCCUGAGAGGGUGACCGGCCACAUUGGGACUGAGAUACGGCCCAGACUCCUACGGGAGGCAGAAGUGGGGAAUAUUGCACAAUGGACGGAAGUCUGAUGCAGCAACGCCGCGUGCGGAAUGACGGCCUUCGAGUUGAAAACCGCUUUCGCCUGUGACGAAGCGUGAGUGACGGUAAUGGGUAAAGAAGCACCGGCUAACUACGUG
rnacentral:rRNA from 1 species